rnacentral:rRNA from 1 species
GCCGCGUGUAUGAAGAAGGCCUUCGGGUUGUAAAGUACUUUCAGUUGUGAGGAAGGGGGUGUUGUUAAUAGCAAUAUCUCUUGACGUUAGCAACAGAAGAAGCACCGGCUAACUCCGUGCCAGCAGCCGCGGUAAUACGGAGGGUGCGAGCGUUAAUCGGAAUUACUGGGCGUAAAGCGCAUGCAGGUGGUUCAUUAAGUCAGAUGUGAAAGCCCGGGGCUCAACCUCGGAACUGCAUUUGAAACUGGUGAACUAGAGUGCUGUAGAGGGGGGUAGAAUUUCAGGUGUAGCGGUGAAAUGCGUAGAGAUCUGAAGGAAUACCAGUGGCGAAGGCGGCCCCCUGGACAGACACUGACACUCAGAUGCGAAAGCGUGGGGAGCAAACAGGAUUAGAUACCCUGGUAGUCCACGCCGUAAACGAUGUCUACUUGGAGGUUGUGGCCUUGAGCCGUGGCUUUCGGAGCUAACGCGUUAAGUAGACCGCCUGGGGAGUACGGUCGCAAGAUUAAAACUCAAAUGAAUUGACGGGGGCCCGCACAAGCGGUGGAGCAUGUGGUUUAAUUCGAUGCAACGCGAAGAACCUUACCUACUCUUGACAUCCAGAGAAGCCAGUGGAGACACAGGUGUGCCUUCGGGAGCUCUGAGACAGGUGCUGCAUGGCUGUCGUCAGCUCGUGUUGUGAAAUGUUGGGUUAAGUCCCGCAACGAGCGCAACCCUUAUCCUUGUUUGCCAGCGAGUAAUGUCGGGAACUCCAGGGAGACUGCCGGUGAUAAACCGGAGGAA